AAAGUCGUAACAAGGUUUCCGUAGGUGAACCUGCGGAAGGAUCAUUAAUGAACUUGUGGUUGUUGCUGGCUAGUGUCUCUAGCAUGUGCACACGCACCUUCAUCCCACUUUACACCUGUGCACCUUUUGUAGUAAUGGGUUGUUGAAAAAAAGGUCUGGUCUUUUUGUAGACUAGCCUUUGGAUCCAUCCCCUACUACGUUUUUUUAUACACACACGAAAUAGUCAUUGAAUGUCCAUUUGAUUUUAUAUUGAAAAUUAAAAAACAACUUUCAACAACGGAUCUCUUGGCUCUC
rnacentral:misc_RNA from 1 species